GGCCAACUGGCUCAAUCGGUAGAGCGUCUGACUACGAUUCAUGACUACGAUAUAGUAGAUCUUCUAGUCCAUCAGGAGGCUGCAGGUUCGAGUCCUGCGUUGGUCA